CCUACGGGAGGCUGCAGUAGGGAAUCUUGCACAAUGGGCGAAAGCCUGAUGGAGCAACGCCGCGUGGGUGAAGAAGGUCUUCGGAUCGUAAAACCCUGUUGUUAGAGAAGAAAGUGCGAGAGAGUAACUGUUCACGUUUCGACGGUAUCUACCCAGAAAGCCACGGCUAACUCCGUGCCAGCAGCCGCGGUAAUACGUAGGUGGCAAGCGUUAUCCGGAAUUAUUGGGCGUAACGGGCACGCAGGCGGUCUGUUAAGUCUGAGGUGAAAGCCCUCGGCUUAACCGGAGUAGUGCAUUGGAAACUGGGAGACUAGAGUGCAGAAGAGGGGAGUCGAACUCCAUGUGUAGCGGUGAAAUGCGUAGAGAUAUGGAAGAACACCAGUGGCGAAGGCGGCUCUCUGGUCUGUAACUGACGCUGAGGUUCGAAAGCGUGGGUAGCAAACAGGAUUAGAUACCCCAGUAGUC
rnacentral:rRNA from 1 species